rnacentral:lncRNA from 1 species
AUGAACUCUAUCCUGGGCUUGAUCAGCAAGGGGCUACAGGAAUCUUACAUUUUACCAGUCACUAUGUCUCCCUUUAGAGAAAAGUUACGUAGCUUUGUAGUAACAAAUUUCUGGUCAGCUUCCACUGCACUUUUGUUUCCAUUCCUGUAUCACCAAGAGGCUCUCGCUGAACUGAGUGGUGAGAAAAUUAAAGGGCUUUCGUAUAGGGAAUGGUUGCCCUGCUUCAACCAGCAAAUAAGAGCUCCGCCGCUUGCUCUCUCUCCUGAUCUGCUCUGUGGGUGCAAGACAGCAACCAUGUCUCCUCCUGUUACCUCUCUGCGGUGUGGCCCUCACCAAUGUCUUUCAAAGCCUCAAGAAACUUCUGAAGAAAACACCCGAGAACCACUUCUGCAGCCUGGUCUGGGUCACAGUCAAAGAACUUUUUCUGUAACUAGCUGGAGAGUGAAUAUUGCACGCCUUCUGCAGGCCGCGAGGUUCCUGUCACACACACUCCACUCUGGCUUGCAGCAGAAAAGCAGCCAUACACACUACGUAAAUGAAUGGCUGUGCCUGUGUUUCAGGGGCCCUAGUUUGCUGACCCCUGAGUUAGAUCCACAAAAGCCUGUCUUUACUGGAAGGUACUUCCAUAUUACAGCAGGUUCCAGAGAGUUCUGGGAAACAGUGUUGAGGAUGGUUGCCCUGGAAGGCAGCCGGUCAGCAGCAGGUCAGCAGCCAUACCCCGCCAGCCGCUCUCAAGGCCACUCUGCUGCAGGGAACAGAGAGGCGGGAGUGCUCAGUGUAGUGAGGAGAAGCGGGAAAGGAACGUUAGAAUUCAUGGUAGGAGUAGGACAGGUGAGUUGGGGGACCUCUGCUUCAGCCAGCUCCCUUUCCCUGGGGCAGAGACUCUUAAAAAAACAAAAUAAACUUACCUGGGACAGAGAUGCCUACUCCCAGCAGCCCCUGAACAAAGCCCCGAGCAGCUGCAACUGGACCAACCCUCAAAUGGCCCAUGACCUAAUGGAUUAA